AGAAAAUCCCAAGUGCAAGAAAGGGAUUUUGAGAUGUGCAGAAAAAUCCAAGGGCAAGGCCCCGUGUCUCUAUUUCCGAAACCUCUGAAACUAAAGAUUAACAUAUGAUAAUUGAGGGCUAUAGAACCAAAUAAAAAAUGAAACAUAUGGAUUAUUGACUUCUAUACACAUAUUAUGUACAAGACAACAACAAAUCAACCCUUAUUCCCAAUAAAUCUGAGAUUAGCUCCAUGAUCAUUCUUCGUCGUUUGACAAGACACCAUCCAACUCGUAAGAGAGAACCGUUCCUUGGAUUAUCUAUUGAAAGAUGGCAUUAAAAGGCAUCGUUCUGUCAAUUUCAGGAAAGAGCAUAUUUGGAAGCUUUGGUACCAACAACAAAAAGCAGAAUUUCGAAGGCAUAUGCCAGUAAAGAAAUUAAAUUUUGACAUAUUGUUUGCACAAUAAAUCCGCAAAGUAAGAGGCCGCACGAACAGCUUAAAAUCAUUUAAACAUUUGAUUAGGACCACUCACUCUAUUUAAGACUAAAUAUAAUGCUGUAAUCUCAUCCAUUUAUUGGAAAUAAAGCAAAAUUUCCCAAAAAAUCGUUUAGGUAGGAACUACGUAGGGAUUUUUUUCUUCAAUUAUUUAUAACAAAUAAAAUAUCACAUAUUCUCAAAUAAAUUCACACAGUCCCCAAUUUUCAUAAGUCAUAAACCUCAGCAGUGUCAUAACUCAUAAACAUUAAUUAUAACGCAUAAAUUAUAAGUCAGAAAAUGAACUAAAAGAACGGGAAAAAAAGAAAAGAAAAAAGAAGAGAAGAGAGGCAGAGGCAGAGGCGGAGGCUCGAGAGUCACGGAUGGAGACGGAGUCAGGCUCGACGUCGGCGGCGACUUGAAAGCAGCCUAGCAGGUCACACCGUUACAGAGUCAGUGAACUCACAUAGCAGGGGCUAAGGGAGGGAGGUUUUGCUGUCUGUUCGGAGUUGGUUGAUCGCCGGUGUAGAUGCCGAACGAACAAAUCUAGGAGAACGGGGAAGAAGACGGCAUCACAAAUUCGGCCAACGACGUUUUUUCUCUCUCUAUCCUGCACUAAUAUAGUCUACGCGAUGAUGUCCUUCAAGUGGCCGGUGAAGAUCGCGAACGAGCAAAUCUAGGAGAACGGGAAAGACGAUGGCGUCAGAAAUUUGGUCGACGUAGUUGCAGAAUCCAGGUUAAGAACUUCGAAUCUGAAUUCGAUUUUUAUUUUAGUUUUACUAUUUAAGGUUUAGGCCAAUACAGUGACCUGAAUGUAGAUCUAUUGAAAUAUGUUGUGUUUGCACAAUCUGAGAAAUUGGAUUUUCUGUGCCCAAUUCUCAUUCUAGAAAUUGAAGAAUAUAUUUCAAUGUUGUGUCUGCACAAUCUACGUAUGUGAGUCUGAUUUACAGUUAACUGAUGGGCUUGUUAUGUGAAGUCAGAUUUACAGUUAAAUUGAUGGGGUUGUUGAUGGUGAAAUGCAUGCGUUGAGAAAGAUAUCUUGUUUUUUUUUUCCCAUGUCAUUACAGUUUAGCUUGUAGAGUGGAAAAAUUGCAACGUUAUUCAUCCUGUCAAUUUAUGAUGAACCAGUAGUUUUUUGUGCAUGAAUCAAUAUUGUUGAUUGUUGGGAAGAACAGAGGAAUUUGUCAUUCUUGUCGGGGGGCAGGACACAUGAUGUCGGAAUGCCCCAAAAAGAAGAGAUGCCCAAAUUGUGGAUAUGGGUUCUUUAGAUGGUUGGAGGUAGAAAAAAAUUCCAAGAAUCAAGGGAAGUUGUUCCAUUCCUGUAUUCACGACUGUGAGUUCUUCAAGUUUUGUAACGUUUCGCCUGAUGAAGAGUAUCCAUUGUAAGGCGAAUCAAGUGGCACAACCAAAGGAAGUGAACCGGUCAAUGAGUUAUCCCGGAUGUUGAAAGUAUGUGAAAAAAUAACCGAGGAGCGAGAUGUGGAGAUUUCACUUAACAUAACCAUGUGUAAGGGGAAAUGUGUUUCAGAUGAUUUAAUUUGAAAUCUAUGUAAUUGGAUGAUUUCAACUUCUUUAGCUUUAAGUUUGUUUUACAUGUAUUUGGAUGAUUUUGACUUCGUUGGCUUUAAGUUUGAUUUACCUGUAUUUGGAUGACUUCGACUUCAA